GAGUUUGAUCUUGGCUCAGAUUGAACGCUGGCGGCAUGCCUUACACAUGCAAGUCGAGCGGCAGCGCGGGGGCAACCCUGGCGGCGAGCGGCGAACGGGUGAGUAAUGCAUCGGAACGUGUCCUCUUGUGGGGGAUAACCAGUCGAAAGACUGGCUAAUACCGCAUGAGCUCGAGAGAGGAAAGCAGGGGACCGCAAGGCCUUGCGCGAGAGGAGCGGCCGAUGCCGGAUUAGCUAGUUGGUGGGGUAAUGGCCUACCAAGGCGACGAUCCGUAGCUGGUCUGAGAGGACGACCAGCCACACUGGGACUGAGACACGGCCCAGACUCCUACGGGAGGCAGCAGUGGGGAAUUUUGGACAAUGGGGGCAACCCUGAUCCAGCCAUGCCGCGUGUGUGAAGAAGGCCUUCGGUUGUAA
rnacentral:rRNA from 1 species